GAACGCUGGCGGCGUGCCUAAUACAUGCAAGUAGAACGCUGAAGGAGGAGCUUGCUUCUCUGGAUGAGUUGCGAACGGGUGAGUAACGCGUAGGUAACCUGCCUGGUAGUGGGGGAUAACUAUUGGAAACGAUAGCUAAUACCGCAUAAUAGCAGUUGUUGCAUGAUAACUGUUUGAAAGGUGCAAUUGCACCGCUACCAGAUGGACCUGCGUUGUAUUAGCUAGUUGGUGGGGUAACGGCUCACCAAGGCGACGAUACAUAGCCGACCUGAGAGGGUGAUCGGCCACACUGGGACUGAGACACGGCCCAGACUCCUACGGGAGGCAGCAGUAGGGAAUCUUCGGCAAUGGACGGAAGUCUGACCGAGCAACGCCGCGUGAGUGAAGAAGGUUUUCGGAUCGUAAAGCUCUGUUGUAAGAGAAGAACGAGUGUGAGAGUGGAAAGUUCACACUGUGACGGUAUCUUACCAGAAAGGGACGGCUAACUACGUG
rnacentral:rRNA from 1 species